CUUUAGUUCGCUCGCAGUCGUCUCUGGCUGCGUGCUUUAGCUCCUUCUUACCUGAUCCUUCUGUCUCUCCCAACCCCGGACACCCGGCUUCCUGGUUAUAUCUUCGGUGUUCUUUUCCUCUCUCCUUCUUUCGCAGUUCAGCAUGCAGGAAAAAGAGGCCUCCUCACAAGGUUUUCUGCCUCACUUCCAACAUUUCGCCACGCAGGCCAUCCAUGUGGGCCAGGAACCAGAGCAAUGGACCUCCAGGGCUGUAGUGCCCCCCAUCUCACCGUCCGUCACGUUCAAGCAAGGGGCGCCUGGCCAGCACUCGGGUUUUGUAUAUAGCCGUUCUGGAAAUCCCACUAGGAAUUGCCUUGAAAAAGCAGUGGCAGCACUGGAUGGGGCUAAGUACUGUACAAACAGGUACUUCAGGCAAGUGGCAUCUGAAUUUGGAUUAAAGAUUUCUUUUGUUGAUUGUUCCAAAAUCAAAUUACUAGAGGCAGCAAUUACACCAGAAACCAAGCUUGUUUGGAUCGAAACCCCCACAAACCCCACCCAGAAGAUGACUGACAUUGAAGCCUGUGCACAUAUUGUCCAUAAGCAUGGAGACAUUAUUUUGGUCGUGGAUAACACUUUCAUGUCGCCAUAUUUCCAGCGCCCUUUGGCUCUGGGAGCUGAUAUUUGUAUGUGUUCUGCAACAAAAUACAUGAAUGGCCACAGUGACGUUGUAAUGGGCCUGGUGUCUGUUAAUUGUGAAAGCCUUUAUAAUAGACUUCGUUUCUUGCAAAAUU
rnacentral:sRNA from 1 species